UCUAUAUACAUAACCUCUAUAUAUAUAACCUCUAUAUACAAAACCUCUAUAGAUAUAACCUCUAUAUACAUAACCUCUAUGUACAUAACCUCUAUAUACAUAACCUCUAUAGAUAUAACCUCUGUAUACAUAACCUCUAUAUAUAUAACCUCUAUAUACAAAACCUCUAUAGAUAUAACCUCUAUAUACAUAACCUCUAUGUACAUAACCUCUAUAUACAUAACCUCUAUAGAUAUAAUCUCUAUAUAUAAAUACCCUCUAUAUAUAACCUCUAUAUACAAAACCUGUAUAUAUAACCUCUAUAGAUAUAGCCUCUGUAUAUAACCUCUAUAUACAGAAUCUCUAAAUAUAACCUCUAUAGAUAUAACCUCUAUAUAUACAUAACCUCUAUAUAUAAAUCAUUUCUAUAUAACCUAUAUAUAUAACCUCUAUAUAUAUAUCUUUAACCUCUAUAGAUAUAACCUCUAUUUAUAUCCUCUAUAUAUAAUAUCUAGAGAGGUUAUAUAUAUAUAUAGGUUAAAUCUGUAGAUAGUAUAUAUAUAGAGGUUAUAUCUACAGGGGAUAUAUCUAUAUAUAGAGAGAUUAUAUCUAUAGAGAUUAUAUAUAGAGAUUAUAUAUAGAGGUUAUAUCUACAGGGGAUAUAUCUAUAUAUAGAGAGAUUAUAUCUACAGAGGUUAUAUAUAGAGGUUAUAUGUAUAGGGGAUAUAUCUAUAUAUAGAGAGAUUAUAUAUACAGAGGUUAUAUAUACAUGUUAUAUCUAUAGAGAUUAUAUAUAGAGGUUAUAUCUACAGGGGAUAUAUCUAUAUAUAGAGAGAUUAUAUCUAUAGAGAUUAUAUAUAGAGGUUAUAUCUACAGGGGAUAUAUCUAUAUAUAGAGAGAUUAUAUCUACAGAGGUUAUAUAUACAUGUUAUAUCUAUAGAGAUUAUAUAUAGAGGUUAUAUCUACAGGGGAUAUAUCUAUAUAUAGAGAGAUUAUAUCUACAGAGGUUAUAUAUACAUGUUAUAUCUAUAGAGAUUAUAUAUAGAGGUUAUAUCUACAGGGGAUAUAUCUAUAUAUAGAGAGAUUAUAUCUACAGAGGUUAUAUAUACAUGUUAUAUCUAUAGAGAUUAUAUAUAGAGGUUAUAUCUACAGGGGAUAUAUCUAUAUAUAGAGAGAUUAUAUCUACAGAGGUUAUAUAUACAUGUUAUAUCUAUAGAGAUUAUAUAUAGAGGUUAUAUCUACAGGGGAUAUAUCUAUAUAUAGAGAGAUUAUAUCUAUAGAGAUUAUAUAUAGAGGUUAUAUCUACAGGGGAUAUAUCUAUAUAUAGAGAGAUUAUAUCUACAGAGGUUAUAUAUACAUGUUAUAUCUAUAGAGAUUAUAUAUAGAGGUUAUAUCUACAGGGGAUAUAUCUAUAUAUAGAGAGAUUAUAUCUACAGAGGUUAUAUAUACAGAGGUUAUAUAUACAUGUUAUAUCUAUAGAGAUUAUAUAUAGAGGUUAUAUCUACAGGGGAAAUAUCUAUAUAUAGAGAGAUUAUAUCUACAGAGGUUAUAUAUACAUGUUAUAUCUAUAGAGAUUAUAUAUAGAGGUUAUAUCUACAGGGGAUAUAUCUAUAUAUAGAGAGAUUAUAUCUAUAGAGAUUAUAUAUAGAGGUUAUAUCUACAGGGGAUAUAUCUAUAUAUAGAGAGAUUAUAUCUACAGAGGUUAUAUAUACAUGUUAUAUCUAUAGAGAUUAUAUAUAGAGGUUAUAUCUAUAGAUAUAACCUCUGUAGAUAUAACCUCUACUUAUAACCUCUAUAGAUAUAACCUCUACUUAUAACCUCUAUUGAUAUAACCUCUACUUAUAACCUCUAUUGAUAUAACCUCUACUUAUAACCUCUAUUGAUAUAACCUCUAUUGAUAUAACCUGUCACGACUUCCGCUGAAGUUGGCUCUCCUGCCUGUUCGGGCGGUGCUCGGCGAUCGUCGUCACCGUCCUACUAGCCACUACCGAUCCCUUUUUCCUUUGUCUGUUGGUUUUGUCUUAUUAGUUUCACCUGUGUGUAUUUUAGUUUAAUUAGCGUCCUUAUAUAUAGUAGGUUGUCCCGCCCUUGUUUUGUGCGGGAUUGUUUUUGUAUUCAUGUCAUUUGGUGUAGUGCUUGUGUUUUAUUCUCCGGUCUAUUUUUGAUCCUGUGAUGGAUUAUUCACCCUGUGUGUUGGGUUGACUGUGUUUUUUGUGCACCGGAGAAUAAACUGUCAAA